rnacentral:rRNA from 1 species
GACGAACGCUGGCGGCGUGCCUAAUACAUGCAAGUAGAACGCUGAAGGAGGAGCUUGCUUCUCUGGAUGAGUUGCGAACGGGUGAGUAACGCGUAGGUAACCUGCCUGGUAGCGGGGGAUAACUAUUGGAAACGAUAGCUAAUACCGCAUAAGAGUAGAUGUUGCAUGACAUUUGCUUAAAAGGUGCAAUUGCAUCACUACCAGAUGGACCUGCGUUGUAUUAGCUAGUUGGUGGGGUAACGGCUCACCAAGGCGACGAUACAUAGCCGACCUGAGAGGGUGAUCGGCCACACUGGGACUGAGACACGGGCCAGACUCCUACGGGAGGCAGCAGGAGGGAAGCUUCGGCAAUGGACGGAAGUCUGACCGAGCAACGCCGCGGGAGUGAAGAAGGGUUUCGGAUCGUAAAGCUCUGUUGUAAGAGAAGAACGAGUGUGAGAGUGGAAAGUUCACACUGUGACGGUAUCUUACCAGAAAGGGACGGCUAACUACGUG